AUUUGUGUGGAUAAAAGAAGCAACAAUGAUGAGCCCCGUAAUGAGAGCUAUUUAGCAUGCUGUUCAAAGCGAGCUGCCACGUCUGUCAAUCACAGGAAGUUUUCUAGUCUCUUUGUAACAAUUAGGGCUUUUGUCAUGAAGACGUCUUGAGUUUUAAAUUGACGCUGUGGUGACAGACAUGCACUCAUGCCCAAUUCCCAAUCUUUACUUCUGUUUUUUACCAAAUUUUAUUUUUUAUUUUUUGCAAUUUGCAGGCUGUCAAAACUGUUUCCACAAGUAGUUGAUGAGAUAACGGCACCUUUAGACUGUAUGACUCGGGUCAGAUAUUCUAGUUAUCCCUUCACAAGCUUCACAUAACAGUUUGCAUUACUUCUGACUACAUUGUACUUGAAUUGGUGUUAUUUUUCCAAUUUGGAAGAUCCUUUUGUGGUUUGGAUUUGACUUCCUGACUGAUGUCUUGAGAUUGCGGUUAAAUAUUUGUUGCCUUUUCUAUUCAGAGUUAGGAUAGUGGAAAUAACAAUGCUUAAACCUUUUCAUUUUAGUUUUGUUAGAAUAAAACAUAUCUCCAAAUUUUAAGGUAAUUGUCUGUUAGUGCAUUUACAAACUGUAGUUAUGCAUGAAAUAUAUUUUUGGAAGAGUGGCUAAAUUGUUUUAUCGUAGAUGAUGACUCUCACCAACUUCAGCCUCACAAAGUCUUUUCUUUUUUUUUUUGGUAUAGGUUUUACAAAUUAGAAAUUAUUUUGGUUGCGCUAACUGAUUUAAACGACUCAUUGAUUUGGUCUGAUAGAAGACACCGAUAAAUAUCAUAUGUCCGUUAAUACAGUAACUAUCUGGUUUCAAAUGUAUGCAUGCCUAUGUUUAUUUAUUUUUUUGCUGAGAAAUGUAUUUAAACCCUAUCUUGUCCACUACUUUUGUGUUCUAGUUCAUGAAGUUUGUAUAAAAUGCAUUGAAAAUGGUGGAUGUAAUGUCACAAAAUGUGGAAUUUUUGAAAGAGCGUGAAUAGAAAAAGUGCUGCGUGUGAAUACCACUAUGAUUUUUAUGUGUAAAUACAGAUCCAACAUGGCUGACAUCGCUACUUACUAGUGGAAAUAUGACACAAUUCAAUCAUUUAUGAGAAAUAAAAAAAAAUAUUUAUUGAUCCAAAUACCACACACCUGAUUAUAUGCUGCUAUUUAUUAGCACAUUUCCACCUGUUUCACACAAAGUUCAUCAAACUCAAAACAUGCUAGACAUUUGUUUUGUACAGGCAUACAUUAUUUUUAUCAUACCGUUUCUUAUUCUACUAACCUAAUAACUCAUCAAAAAAAAAAAAACUAUUGUAUCAUAAAUGUUUACAUCGUUGACCCAUAAUUGUAGCUUAGAUGUGGCUUGACCCAUUUGCAGCUCCCACCAAAGCGAUGAGGGAGGGCAACACCACACCUCACUGCCCUCUGUCGAUACACCUGGUGUGACCUGAUUGGCUGAGGGGGAGAAGAGAAGCUGAUCCACUGCAUUGAGCGUCUCCUCCCUUCUCCACCAUGCUCUCAUUAGAUCUACCCUAUUAAACUCUUUAUGCAUUUGUCUGUAGAUUGCUUUCUGGAAACAAUUGUAGAUCCCUUCAGGUGGUGUGCGUGCGCUUCCAGUAAGGUAGUGGUUC